rnacentral:rRNA from 1 species
CCUACGGGUGGCAGCAGUGGGGUAUAUUGCACAAUGGGGGAAACCCUGAUGCAGCGACGCCGCGUGAGUGAAGAAGCGCCUCGGCGCGUAAAGCCCUGUCAGCAGGGAAGAACAUGACGUUACCUGAACAAGAAGCCCCGGCUAACUACGGUCCAGCAGCCGCGGUAAUACGGAGGGUGCGAGCGUUAAGCGGAAUUACUGGGCGUAAGGCGCUCGGAGGCGGUUUGUCAAGUCAAGGGUGAAAUCCCCGCGCUCAACGUGGGAACUGCCUUUGAAACUGGCAAAGUGGAGUGUGUGAGAGGAUAGUGGAAUUCCAGGUGUAGGAGUGAAAUCCGUAGAUAUCUGGAGGAACAUCAGUGGCGAAGGCGACUAUCUGGCACAUAACUGACGCUGAGGAGCGAAAGCGUGGGUAGCAAACAGGAUUAGAUACCCGGGUAGUC